rnacentral:misc_RNA from 1 species
CAAGGUUUCCGUAGGUGAACCUGCGGAAGGAUCAUUACUGAGUGCGGGCUGCCUCCGGGCGCCCAACCUCCCACCCGUGACUACCUAACACUGUUGCUUCGGCGGGGAGCCCUCUCGGGGGCGAGCCGCCGGGGACUACUGAACUUCAUGCCUGAGAGUGAUGCAGUCUGAGUCUGAAUAUAAAAUCAGUCAAAACUUUCAACAAUGGAUCUCUUGGUUCCGGCAUCGAUGAAGAACGCAGCGAACUGCGAUAAGUAAUGUGAAUUGCAGAAUUCAGUGAAUCAUCGAGUCUUUGAACGCACAUUGCGCCCCCUGGCAUUCCGGGGGGCAUGCCUGUCCGAGCGUCAUUGCUGCCCAUCAAGCCCGGCUUGUGUGUUGGGUCGUCGUCCCCCCCGGGGGACGGGCCCGAAAGGCAGCGGCGGCACCGUGUCCGGUCCUCGAGCGUAUGGGGCUUUGUCACCCGCUCGAUUUAGGGCCGGCCGGGCGCCAGCCGACGUCCAACCAUUUUUUCUUCAGGUUGACCUCGGAUCAGGUAGGGAUACCCGCUGAACUUAAGCAUAUCAAUAAGCGGAGGAAAAGAAACCAACCGGGAUUGCCCCAGUAACGGCGAGUGAAGCGGCAAGAGCUCAAAUUUGAAAUCUGGCCCCUCCGGGGUCCGAGUUGUAAUUUGCAGAGGAUGCUUCGGGUGCGGCCCCUGUCUAAGUGCCCUGGAACGGGCCGUCAGAGAGGGUGAGAAUCCCGUCUUGGGCAGGGUGCCCGUGCCCGUGUGAAGCUCCUUCGACGAGUCGAGUUGUUUGGGAAUGCAGCUCU